UAGCUCAGUUGGUAGAGCACGACCUUGCCAAGGUCGGGGUCGCGAGUUCGAGUCUCGUN
rnacentral:tRNA from 1 species